AGAGCAAAUGCCUGGUCUUCUAGUACCCCCAAGGCAGCCAACUAGAAGUCCUUCCCCUCCUCAGAAACCCUGGCCCUUAGCUUUCAUGUUGCCUUUUCUCCACUUAUCACUUUCUGGGUAGUGACCUUGUGGGGAACAAAGUCUGCAUUUUUCUGCAAGAGACCUGAGCCAGGGUCCUCACACCUGCAGCUGGAGUUGGCUGGGAGUCAGCUUUGGAGCCAAUCUCACUCACAGGAUGCCUCCCAUCUACACUGUCACUCAAUAAGGGUCUCAGUUUUAAAAUAUAAAGAACAUAUUUUCUGGAUCCUUGAGAAAUUUUUUUCAAGCAGAGGACCUCCAAUUAUGGUACCAAUAGUCACAAGGAGGCAUAUUGGUGUUGUUCUGCCUGAUGCUGCUCUGCCGUUGGGAAUACAGCAUGGUGGGUGCCUCUAGAACCCAGCCUUCCCGAUACAACUGCCCACCAGCGCUUCUCUGCUCCUUUUGUUAUGCC
rnacentral:lncRNA from 1 species